rnacentral:rRNA from 1 species
AACGAACGCUGGCGGCAUGCCUAACACAUGCAAGUCGAACGAGACCUUCGGGUCUAGUGGCGCACGGGUGCGUAACGCGUGGGAACCUGCCCUUAGGUUCGGAAUAACUCCCCGAAAGGGGUGCUAAUACCGGAUAAUGUCUUCGGACCAAAGAUUAUCGCCUUUGGAUGGGGCCGCGUUGGAUUAGCUAGUUUGUAGGGUAAAAGCCUACCAAGGGGACGAUCCAUAGCUGGGCUGAGAGGAUGAUCAGCCACACUGGGACUGAGACACGGCCCAGACUCCUACGGGAGGAAGCAGUGGGGAAUAUUGGACAAUGGGCGAAAGCCUGAUCCAGCAAUGCCGCGUGAGUGAUGAAGGCCUUAGGGUUGUAAAGCUCUUUUACCCGGGAUGAUAAUGACAGUACCGGGAGAAUAAGCUCCGGCUAACUCCGUG